GCCCGCCUAGCUCAAUCGGCCAGAGCGUCAGACUUUUACGGAUUCCCGAUUCUCAGGACCUGUUAAUCUGAAGGCUGCGAGUUCGACCCUCGCGGUGGGCU
rnacentral:tRNA from 1 species